CAGGCCUAACACAUGCAAGUCGAACGGGCAUCUUCGGAUGCUAGUGGCGCACGGGUGCGUAACGCGUGGGAAUCUGCCCCUUGGUUCGGAAUAACAGUUGGAAACGACUGCUAAUACCGGAUGACGACGUAAGUCCAAAGAUUUAUCGCCAAGGGAUGAGCCCGCGUAGGAUUAGCUAGUUGGUGUGGUAAAGGCGCACCAAGGCGACGAUCCUUAGCUGGUCUGAGAGGAUGAUCAGCCACACUGGGACUGAGACACGGCCCAGACUCCUACGGGAGGCAGCAGUGGGGAAUAUUGGACAAUGGGCGAAAGCCUGAUCCAGCAAUGCCGCGUGAGUGAUGAAGGCCUUAGGGUUGUAAAGCUCUUUUACNCCGGGAUGAUAAUGACAGGA
rnacentral:rRNA from 1 species